AUUGAACGCUGGCGGCAGGCUUAACACAUGCAAGUCGAGCGGGGUGAUGGUGCUUGCACUAUCACUUAGCGGCGGACGGGUGAGUAAUGCUUAGGAAUCUGCCUAUUAGUGGGGGACAACAUCUCGAAAGGGAUGCUAAUACCGCAUACGUCCUACGGGAGAAAGCAGGGGAUCACUUGUGACCUUGCGCUAAUAGAUGAGCCUAAGUCGGAUUAGCUAGUUGGGGGGGUAAAGGCCUACCAAGGCGACGAUCUGUAGCGGGUCUGAGAGGAUGAUACGCCACACUGGGACUGAGACACGGCCCAGACUCCUACGGGAGGCAGCAGUGGGGAAUAUUGGGCAAUGGGGGGAACCCUGAUCCAGCCAUGCCGCGUGUGUGAAGAAGGCCUUAUGGUUGUAAAGCACUUUAAGCGAGGAGGAGGCUCUUUUGGUUAAUACCCAAGAUGAGUGGACGUUACUCGCAGAAUAAGCACCGGCUAACUCUGUGCCAGCCGCCGCGGUAA
rnacentral:rRNA from 1 species